AAACGGCCGCGGCACUUCGACCGCGCAAAGGCAGCAUAAUCAUCAGUUUUUUAAUCGAAAGCUGGAAUGAAAGGUUGGAUGAGAAAAUAACUGUCUCUAAUUAAAUUAUUUUGAAUUUUAUCUUUAAGUAAAAAAGCUUAAAUAAGAGCGGAAGACGAGAAGACCCUAUAGAGUUUUAUAUAUUUAUAUUAAAGAAAGAUGUUUAGAAUUAAUUUUUUUUUGGUAUAAAUAUAUUUAGUUGGGGUGAUUGAAAAAUUAAACAAACUUUUUUUUUAUGAUAACAUUAAUUUAUGAUUAAAUGAUCCUUAAUUUAAGAUUACAAGAUAAAAUUACCUUAGGGAUAACAGCGUAAUUUUUUUAAAGAGUUCAAAUCGAAAAAAAAGAUUGCGACCUCGAUGUUGGAUUAAAAUAAAAUUUUGGUGUAGGGGCUAAAGUAUUUGGGUCUGUUCGACCCUUAAAAUUUUACAUGAUCUGAGUUUAAACCGGUGU
rnacentral:rRNA from 1 species